rnacentral:rRNA from 1 species
GAUGAACGCUGGCGGCGUGCUUAACACAUGCAAGUCGAACGAUGAAGCCCAGCUUGCUGGGUGGGUUAGUGGCGAACGGGUGAGUAACACGUGAGUAACCUGCCCUUAACUCUGGGAUAAGCCUGGGAAACUGGGUCUAAUACCGGAUAGGAGCGUCCACCGCAUGGUGGGUGUUGGAAAGAUUUAUCGGUUUUGGAUGGACUCGCGGCCUAUCAGCUUGUUGGUGAGGUAAUGGCUCACCAAGGCGACGACGGGUAGCCGGCCUGAGAGGGUGACCGGCCACCCUGGGACUGCGAGACGGCCCAGACUCCUACGGGAGGCAGCAGUGGGGAAUAUUGCACAAUGGGCGCAAGCCUGAUGAAGAGACGCCGCGUGAGGGAUGACGGCCUUCGGGUUGUAAACCUCUUUCAGUAGGGAAGAAGCGAAAGUGACGGUACCUGCAGAAGAAGCACCGGCUAACUACGUG